rnacentral:rRNA from 1 species
UACGAAGGGGGCUAGCGUUGCUCGGAAUCACUGGGCGUAAAGCGCACGUAGGCGGGUCCUUAAGUCAGGGGUGAAAUCCCGGAGCUCAACUCCGGAACUGCCUUUGAUACUGGGGAUCUUGAGUCCGGAAGAGGUGAGUGGAACUCCGAGUGUAGAGGUGAAAUUCGUAGAUAUUCGGAAGAACACCAGUGGCGAAGGCGGCUCACUGGUCCGGUACUGACGCUGAGGUGCGAAAAGCGUGGGGAGCAAACAGG